CUCCUAAAGAAGGAAGACCUGCAGAGGAGAAAUGAUCUGAAUGUCAGUGGGAUCCUUAGAAGAGCAAGUACAUCUGGAGAAAUGGCCCCUGAGAACUGUAAUGGAGAAGAAGGUGGAGAGCAAAUUUAUUAUUGAAAUGCAACACACCAGUAACACUGAUAUAUCUUGGAGAGUGUAUCCUCAACAAUGAGCCCAAACCAGGCAUGUGUUGUACAUGAUGUCAUGGGUACCUGAUGGAGGAGCACAGGUUUAGUACUUCAUGUUGGGAAUACUUCAGGGAACACAGCUGUCAACAAAACAGAUCAAAGAUGAUGGCUGCUGCAGGGCAAAACAACGUGAAGGUGGAAUGUCAUGAAGGCCUCUUCCUUCUUGGUAAGCUGGACAUGGUGAUUCUGAGCUGGUCACCUAAAACCAGGAGCAACUAAACAUAUUAUUAAGUCUGGUGAUGUAUUUCACUGCUGUUCUGUAUAAGAGCUUGAAAUGUCUUAUAUUUAGAUAUUGUACACAAGAAGGAUAAGAGAAGAAAUAUAAUUUUUAGGUUAAAAAUCAGUUGCAUACUUUUUCCACAUGUAUAGAAAUAUAACUGAAAACUUUCUGUAAAGCUUUUUGGUACUAUU